CUCAGAUCUGAAUGCUUCAACCCUGCAAAACAGAGAGUGAAAAAUCCUAGUCACAAAAGCCCAAUAACAACAUUUUAGCAAAAUGAAAAGAAAAAUAUAGAUCCGAUAACAGAUAAAAGUGUAACAAGAGUAAAGUGAACUAAUUCUUUGUUUGUUUGCAGAGAAAAUGCAGUAACGUCUGAAGAGAACAUAACUUCACUUCAACCCAACUUUUUUUUUUUAAUUCUUUUACCAACUUUCUCACCAAAUAAACAAAUAAUAACACAAAAUCCCCAGCGUAGAGAUUUUUUAAAGCUUUCUCCUAUUUUCCCUCGAUUUUCUCGAGAACCAAACAGAAAACUGAAGCUUAAAAAUCACGACAAAAGGCACCAACAUUACAACUCGGAAAGGAAAAACAACACACGAUCAUAUAAAAAAAAAAAAAAGUUAAGAAAACAACAUAGAACAAAGACUAUAAAUGUAAAGCCAUGGAUAUGCUUUAAAAAGCGAGAUACUCAUAUAUACCUCUAGAAGAAGAAGAAGAAGA
rnacentral:misc_RNA from 1 species